CGGAGCUGGAAUAAGACAUUAGGCAGCAGGAUUCCCAAGUUAAUCCCAAGACAAGAGAGAUCACUAUCCCGAAUGCCUGAAUGAGUGCAGGCAGCCCUUCUGUAGAAGCCUACGCAUCCUGCUUCCAUUUGCCUGCAACUCUGAGAAGCCAUUUAUUGAGCUACUCAGUUAUUGAGUAUUCCAGCAUUAAUUACAAAGGGCCUAUUUGUCUGCAAGGAGAACAAAUUCUGAUAUACCAACAUGUCCACCUGACCGAACGGUCCAGUUUCUAUUUUCAUAAUGUAUAAGUGACUUAAGAUUUAAUCCUCCUUAUCUGAAAACCCUACUUGGAAAAUAUACUUAAAGGCAUAUCCUUCAAUGAGACCUCACACAGAAAGAAAGGGCUUUGGUUUUCCAAUCUCAUACUAAAAGUGUCUACGUUAUGAAUGAGCAGAGAAUGAGAAGUACUUUAAAAACUCCCAACUAAAAGG